GUCAGUGCUGGGGAAAACGAAGAAAACAACUUGGAUCUACUGCACAAACUAAUUCACAAAGAACAGAACAAAGAAAGCGUUCAGUUUUAGAACGGCAUGGCUAAAUUCCGUGUAUCGUUUGAUGUCAGCUAUAUUAGAUUGAAGAAAGCGAGAGGAGUUUUCCUCAGGAGAACAGAGACAUCAUGUUAAACGAAGCAGGUACAUCACCUGAGGCAAUAAACAAAGACAUCUGUCGCAUUGAUCGAUUUCUUCUUCCUGAUUCAACUCCUUUAGCUCUCACAGAACACUUUGCCAUUUCUGUUGAUUUGACUGAAAGACACGAUUGUCAGCUGAUGAUGUCAUUACAUGGGUCAGAAAUUUCAUCGGCGUUGUAAAAGGAAUUAUUCAUGAACAAAACUUGAGCGUCGCGCCGAAUACAACGUUUGUUGUCAAAC